UACGUAGGGUGCAAGCGUUGUCCGGAAUUAUUGGGCGUAAAGAGCUUGUAGGCGGUUUGUCGCGUCUGCUGUGAAAAUCCGAGGCUCAACCUCGGACUUGCAGUGGGUACGGGCAGACUAGAGUGUGGUAGGGGGAGACUGGAAUUCCUGGUGUAGCGGUGGAAUGCGCAGAUAUCAGGAGGAACACCGAUGGCGAAGGCAGGUCUCUGGGCCAUUACUGACAC
rnacentral:rRNA from 1 species